rnacentral:rRNA from 1 species
UACGUAGGCAGCAAGCGUUGUUCGGAGUUACUGGGCGUAAAGGGUGUGUAGGCGGUUUCGUAAGUUCGGUGUGAAAUCUCCCGGCUCAACUGGGAGGGUGCGCCGGAAACUGCGAAGCUUGAGCAUGGGAGAGGGAAGCGGAAUUCCUGGUGUAGCGGUGAAAUGCGUAGAUAUCAGGAGGAACACCGGCGGUGUAGACGGCUUCCUGGACCAUUGCUGACGCUGAGACACGAAAGCGUGGGGAGCAAACAGG